rnacentral:rRNA from 1 species
AUUGAACGCUGGCGGCAUGCCUUACACAUGCAAGUCGAACGGCAGCGCGGGAGCAAUCCUGGCGGCGAGUGGCGAACAGGUGAGUAAUAUAUCGGAACGUGUCCAGUAGUGGGGGAUAGCCCGGCGAAAGCCGGAUUAAUACAGCAUACGACCUGAGGGUGAAGGGGGGGAUCGCAAGACCGCUCGCUCUUGGAGCGGCCGAUAUCAGAUUAGGCAGUUGGUGGGGUAAAGGCCUACCAAGCCUGCGACCUGUAGUUGGUCUGAGAGGACGACCAGCCACACUGGGAGUGAGACACGGCCCAGACUCCUACGGGAGGCAGCAGUGGGGAAUUUUGGACAAUGGGCGCAAGCCUGAUCCAGCAAUGCCGCGUGCAGGAAGAAGGCCUUCGGGUUGUAAACUGCUUUUGUCAGGGAAGAAAUCCUCUAGGCUAAUACCUUGGGGGGAUGACGGUACCUGAAGAAUAAGCACCGGCUAACUACGUGCCAGCCGCCGCCGUAA